rnacentral:rRNA from 1 species
UACAGAGGUCUCGAGCGUUAGGCGGAAUCACUGGGCUUAAAGCGUGUGUAGGCGGACUGGUAAGUACCUUGUGAAAUCCCACGGCUCAACCGUGGAACUGCUUGGUAUACUGCUUGUCUUGUGCAACCUAGGGGCGAGCGGAACAGAUGGUGGAGCGGUGAAAUGCGUAGAUAUCAUCUGGAACGCCAAUGGUGAAAACAGCUCGCUGGGGGUUUGCAGACGCUGAGACACGAAAGCCAGGGGAGCAAACGGGG